CCAGCACUUUGGGGGGCCAAGGCAAGUGGAUCACUUGAGCCCAGGAGUUCAAGGCCAUCCUGGGCAAUGUGGCAAAACCAUCUACAAAAAAAUACAAAAAGAGGAAGAAAUGAUAUUUCACAAAUUUGUAUCAUUUGUCAUGAUGUGAUUCUUGAAUAUAUUAAAUAUUUUUCCUUUAAUACUGUAUGCUGUUUGCUUACAUAAAAUUUUUUGAUUAAAAAAAAAGAAAAAUGACUUUCAAACCUGAAAGAUCUCAGAAGUGUGCUUUGCAUAUACACUUUCUCAGGAAGCUACUGGAAGAUAUGUUCUUUUUGAGGGCUGGGAAGUUCAAGACUGGGCAGUCACAUCCGACAACUUCUUUUGAGGGCAUCAAAACAUGGCAAAGAAACAAAAGGGGAAACAGGUACACGCAAAAGACACCAAGCACAAGAGGCAGACUCACUUUAUAACAACCAACCUCCUCACAGUAACUAAUCCAGUCCCAUGAGCACAAGAACUCUCCCACUCCAAAGAGACUGCAUUCAUACCCUCAUCAGGAGAGAUUCCCCAUGACACAAAUGCCUCUUAAGGGUACCACCUCCCAACACUGUCACAUUGGGAACCCAUCCUCAACAUGACUUUGGAUGGGGAUAAACCAUAUUCAAAUCAUAGUACAUAAGCACUUCAAAUUCGAAGAGUUCAAAUCAGGAUUAAUCCUCUCCCUCUCCCAAAUCUUCUCCUUUAUGUCUGAAAAAUAAAAGGGGAAGAGAAAUGUUAAUAUCCCUCCCCAUUCAUUCCUCACUCCAGAUUAUAUUCUUUCCCCUACACUAAACUGCCUCAAGGACCAAUCAGUUCAUAUGAUUUUCAGAAAUGGACCUUUUUGCCCAAGAAGAAGGAUUGCAUUUUCACCUUUGAAAAGUGGUGUUAUAUGAUUUCUUAUAUGUGCAUGACCCAGCAAACCCACUGUACUCAAAAUCUUAAACCAGCCUCUAAGCCCUAAGUCUACUACUACAACAACACUAGAGUAAGAAUCUGGGGACCCGGGGCCAGAGUCAGACCCAGAACUGACUAUAAGACCAGCUAUCUCUCCAAAACAUUUAGAA
rnacentral:lncRNA from 10 species